UUAGAGCGAGAACGGAGGAAUCCGACAGCCAAUGGGUGGCGCCUCCGGGGGCGGGAGCAGAGAGACAAGGAAAUGCUGUCACCGCCGUUAACACGCACGUGGAGGUUUGUUAAAGGAAGACCUGAUUUUAAGCCCUGCCUCCAUCAGUUUCAAGACCUGGGACAUCAAAGAAGGGACAGGAGGCACUGAGGAGGAUGUGGCACCUAAGUGGGUAUCACCUCAGUCCUGUACCAUUAAGAAUGAUAUCCCGGGAUUAACCAUGAAAGGGAAAAGAGAAGCAGUUCCAGAUGGUGUUUGGAAAUGAAAACUGCGAUGGUGUUUCAAAGGUUUGCUCCUGGCCUUGGGGAGUCAGCAGUCCGCCCCGCUCCCCAGGAUGUCAGGCAACAGGCCUGAAGCUUUGUCAACAAGUUCUUAAACGUCUCACAUGCUAAGAGCUUGGAGAUAUCUAGCUGGAGGUUCAAGGAUGCAAGUGGAAAUAUUAAAAGGUUUCUGCCCGCAGUCUAAGGCGAGAGGCCAUCUGCCUAGGGAGUGCCCUCGAGUCCUGACACCAUCCCUCGAUUGGGAUACAUUGGUAAUUAGGUUGGCUUCCACGCCCAGCAGUGCCCAUGUGGUUGGCGCCGUUGGAAUUUCAAGCAUUCCCCCACCCCCUUCUGCACUCGGGAGAGUCCUGAAUCGCUGUGGGCACCUAGAGUUUAAGUGAAAGAGGGUCCCCCGAACACAGGGCAAGCGCAAAGGGCGUCGACCGCCUCCUCAGAGCAGACACAAGCAACGUCUCCAGGCCAGCGACCGGGCAGAGGGGGUGCCAGGCCCGCCACGGGUGCCCGCUUCUCUCGCCAGCCCCCGGAAGCGCCGCUCUCCCGCCCAGCGGGCUCCGAGGGGGCGGGGAGUCGAACGCCCCCUUCCGGGUGCCUCCGCCUGGCUGGCCAGCCCCGCUCCUCCUCCGGGCGGGAAUCCUCCCUCCCCGCCCCUCCCGGAGCCGGGCCCCGGCGCCAGGCCCGGCCCCAAGGGGGAACCCCCAGCCCCGGCUCCCCCUCCCUGCGGCCUCUGCCAGUCUUCCCGACCCUUGAGAGCCGGGAAGACCCCGCCGGCAGCGGCCAGGACCCACCGCUCAUUACGACAUCUUCCUCCCUGGCCUCCGCCGCCUCCGCCGCCACCGAGAGCCUGACACCGCCCGCCUAGCGCCCGCCAAUCCCGGAGCCCGCCACCGCCCGAGCGACGGCAGCAUUCACCAAUAAGAGUUCGGUACAUUGGGGACCGACAGCACUACUAACCAAUCAAAGAGAAGCAUCUAGAGCGACGUUGGUUUGGCCAAUAGACCCGUGAAAUGUCACUGAUGGACGGUAGAGAGCACCAACCGGAAGCCUAGUGUAGAGUGAACGACAUGUUCGCCAGCCAACUGGCGGGAGGUAAAGUCCCGCCCACAAGGUGGUUGAUGGACAGCAGCAGGAAGCUAGAUGGGGAGGGACUUAGCUGAGGACUGGUUUUGUAUUGGUCGUGGUUGACCUUCCACCCACCUCUAACCCAGAAGAUGAGUGAUAGAUCUGCCCUAAAGCCAAUCAGAAGUCCUCAGGGUGAGGCCGAAAAAUGCCCUAUAAAUAGCACCUACUUUGCGCCUCAAUCCUGUGUCGCCCCUGUGUAGCGGGGUCCUUCUGCUCUUCGGCCACUAAAGCCAGUGCCUGGUGAGUGGAAAGCCACCAGUUUUUUUAUUUAGUCCCUCGCCUUUCAUCGAUUCUGGAGAGGGAAGUGAGCCCUCAGGCGACUUUGUACUGCGAGGCAUUGGCGUCGGACACAAUAGUUGGGGCUACGUGACACUUCGGAGAGAGGAUUAUUCUCACCGUCUCAGUUCAAACCCCCUCUUAAUCCUCACCUCGUUACUGCAGCGACCGCCUAACGUGGGCAUCAGAAUCACCUGAAGCUCUCUAAAAGUAGAUUACCCGGGCUGCCCCUCGUGUCUAGGGCACGCGUGGAAUAUGAAUUCUAACCAGAGCCUCGGGUGGACUGACAUGGUUUGUGCCCCACUUUCCUCCUUGAAUAAGGUGCUGUGAGUACAAGACUUGGCAGUCGCUACCUGGAUAGGUUUACCUUUUCUACGGAUGCGUAACUUGAGAAGGCUGCCUGGCAUUAGUGAGAAGGAAUCCGCUCUGGUUUCAGACCAGCCUGGGUUCGAAACUUACACACAGCCUACUUACAGAGAGGCAGGGUACCGAAACUCCACGCGCCUUAUGUCUUCAUCUGUAUCUGUAAAAUGAAGCUAAUCACACCUACACCUUA